UGGGGAAUCUUCCGCAAUGGACGAAAGUCUGACGGAGCAACGCCGCGUGUAUGAUGAAGGUCUUCGGAUUGUAAAGUACUGUCAUUGGGGAAGAACGGUUUUCUUGAGAAUAUUGAGAAGACAUGACGGUACCCAAGGAGGAAGCCCCGGCUAACUACGUGCCAGCAGCCGCGGUAAUACGUAGGGGGCAAGCGUUGUCCGGAAUUAUUGGGCGUAAAGGGCGCGUAGGCGGGCCUUUAAGUCCGGUGUGAAAGAUCAGGGCUCAACCCUGAGAGUGCAUCGGAAACUGGAGGCCUUGAGGACAGGAGAGGAAAGUGGAAUUCCACGUGUAGCGGUGAAAUGCGUAGAUAUGUGGAGGAACACCAGUGGCGAAAGGCGACUUUCUGGACUGUAACUGACGCUGAGGCGCGAAAGCGUGGGGAGCAAACAGGAUUAGAUACCCUGGUAGUCCACGCCGUAAACGAUGAGUGCUAGGUGUAGAGGGUAUCGACCCCUUCUGUGCCGCAGUUAACACAAUAAGCACUCCCGCCUGGGGAGUACGGCCGCAAGGUUGAAACUCAAAUGAA
rnacentral:rRNA from 1 species